GAUGAACGCUGGCGGCGUGCCUAAUACAUGCAAGUCGAACGCUUUGUAAAGGAGCUUGCUUCUUUACGAGGAGUGGCGAACGGGUGAGUAAUACAUAAGCAAUCUGCCCAUCGGCCUGGGAUAACAGUUGGAAACGACUGCUAAUACCGGAUAGGUUAGUUUCUGGCAUCAGGGACUAAUUAAAGUUGGGAUACAACACGGAUGGAUGAGCUUAUGGCGUAUUAGCUAGUAGGUGAGGUAACGGCCCACCUAGGCGAUGAUACGUAGCCGACCUGAGAGGGUGACCGGCCACAUUGGGACUGAGACACGGCCCAA
rnacentral:rRNA from 1 species